rnacentral:misc_RNA from 1 species
GAUGAAGAACGCAGCGAAAUGCGAUAAGUAAUGUGAAUUGCAGAAUUCAGUGAAUCAUCGAAUCUUUGAACGCACCUUGCGCUCUUUGGCCAUUCCAAGGAGCAUGCCUGUUUGAGUGUCAUUGAAUCCUCAAGGGCCCCCUUUCUUCCGAGGGGGGGACUUUGGACUUGGGAGCGCUGCGGCCUCCGGGCUUUCCCCCGGCUCCGCUCUCCUCAAACGCAUCAGUAGGGCCCCUCAUCCCUUCGGGUCUUUUGCGGCGUUGAUAGUCGUCUACGCCUCUGCCCCGUCGGGUCUCACCUGCUCCUCAACCCCACAUUCUCCUUUUGAACGCUUUGACCUCAAAUCAGGUAGGACUACCCGCUGAACUUAAGCAUAUCAAUAAGCGGAGGA